CUACGGGCGGCACCAGUCGAGAAUCUUCGGCAAUGGACGCAAGUCCGACCGAGCGACGCCGCGUGCGGGAUGAAGGCCUUCGGGUUGUAAACCGCUGUCAGAGGGGAGGAAAUGCAUGGGGGCUAUCCCCUGUGUUUGACCUAUCCUCAGAGGAAGUACGGGCUAAGUUCGUGCCAGCAGCCGCGGUAACACGAACCGUACGAACGUUAUUCGGAAUCACUGGGCUUAAAGGGUGCGUAGGCGGCCUUGCAAGUUGGGUGUGAAAUCCCUCGGCUCAACCGAGGAACUGCGCUCAAAACUGCAAGGCUUGAGGGAGACAGAGGUGAGCGGAACUAAUGGUGGAGCGGUGAAAUGCGUUGAUAUCAUUAGGAACACUGGUGGCGAAGGCGGCUCACUGGGUCUCUUCUGACGCUGAGGCACGAAAGCUAGGGUAGCGAACGGGAUUAGAUACCCUCGUAGUC
rnacentral:rRNA from 1 species